rnacentral:miRNA from 1 species
UGGGACGAGAUCAUGAGGCCUUC